GACAAGCGGUGGAGCAUGUGGUUUAAUUCGAUGCAACGCGAAGAACCUUACCUGGUCUUGACAUCCACAGAACUUUCCAGAGAUGGAUUGGUGCCUUCGGGAACUGUGAGACAGGUGCUGCAUGGCUGUCGUCAGCUCGUGUUGUGAAAUGUUGGGUUAAGUCCCGCAACGAGCGCAACCCUUAUCCUUUGUUGCCAGCGGUCCGGCCGGGAACUCAAAGGAGACUGCCAGUGAUAAACUGGAGGAAGGUGGGGAUGACGUCAAGUCAUCAUGGCCCUUACGACCAGGGCUACACACGUGCUACAAUGGUCGGUACAACGAGAAGCAAGCCAGCGAUGGCAAGCAAAUCUCUAAAAGCCGAUCCCAGUUCGGAUUGCAGGCUGCAACUCGCCUGCAUGAAGUCGGAGUUGCUAGUAAUCGCGGAUCAGAAUGCCGCGGUGAAUGCGUUCCCGGGUCUU
rnacentral:rRNA from 1 species